rnacentral:rRNA from 1 species
AAGGAUCAUUCAUUGAGCAUGCAUGCCAUGAUUUAGGCUGCACAAGCUUGCUUUUUUUCUUGACACAAGGCAUUGAUUGCCUUUAGUUGAUGUCUUCUACGUUAAAGUGUGUGUGGUGAUUUGGAAUCGUCACUUAGAAAGAGAAAGUGUAUAAAUCAUUUACAACUUUCAGCAAUGGAUCUCUUGGUUCUCGCAUCGAUGAAGAACGCAGUGAAAUGCGAUAACUGGUGUGAAUUGCAUCCAAGUAACUCUAAUUUACGAAUAACACCAAGUGAAUCAUCGAGUCUUUGAACGCAAUUGCGCCCUCUCGGUCGCUUCCAAUUGGGGGUUGACUCAUAGGGGGUACAUCUGUUUGAGGGUCAUUUGAAUCUCUCAAAGGGUUGGUUUAAUCUGUCCUUUGGAUUUUGGGUCUUGCUGUGAAAUUCAUCUCAGCUUACCUUGAAAGCAUUAGCAAGCUGUUCCAGGUCUUUUCUUGAUGAGGGCAUUCUAACUGGUCGGGUCUAAAGAGCUUCAUUGGUUGAAUCUCAAGCAUUCACCAAAUUGGUCUUGAGUGGUGCUUUCAAUGAUCCAUGAUAAAUGUCUCAAUCACAAAAAAGUCUCAAUGUGAUUCAAACUUGCUUCUAAUCAUCCCAUAGAGGGGAUGGGCUCUCAAUGAGCUCUUUCAAAAAGAAACUCAAUGACCUCAAAUCAGAUGAGAAUACCCGCUGAACUUAA